GACGAACGCUGGCGGCGUGCUUAACACAUGCCAGUCGAACGGAAAGGCCCUGCUUUUGUGGGGUGCUCGAGUGGCGAACGGGUGAGUAACACGUGAGUAACCUGCCCUUGACUUUGGGAUAACUUCAGGAAACUGGGGCUAAUACCGGAUAGGAGCUCCUGCUGCAUGGUGGGGGUUGGAAAGUUUCGGCGGUUGGGGAUGGACUCGCGGCUUAUCAGCUUGUUGGUGGGGUAGUGGCUUACCAAGGCUUUGACGGGUAGCCGGCCUGGGAGGGUGACCGGCCACAUUGGGACUGAGAUACGGCCCAGACUCCUACGGGAGGCAGCAGUGGGGAAUAUUGCACAAUGGGCGGAAGCCUGAUGCAGCAACGCCGCGUGCGGGAUGACGGCCUUCGGGUUGUAAACCGCUUUCGCCUGUGACGAAGCGUGAGUGACGGUAAUGGGUAAAGAAGCACCGGCUAACUACGUG
rnacentral:rRNA from 1 species